ACCCUUGACCCAGUCGCCGAAACCCUAACCCAGUUACCCUUCCCCAAACCCAGUAGCAUACACCAAACAGGGGAAAUAGAGAGGGGAAAUGGGAAGAGGAGGAAGGAGAAGAGAAGAGAGGAACGAGUGACUGCCUGUCGUCACUGUCGUCAUCCGUGCUCGCCGUCGCACCACCACGUUGCCACCGAAGCUUCCUGUGACGCCAUCAACCUGCUGUCAAACCAUCGCCGCCGUUGUGCUAUUGAGAAGAGAGAGCUCGCGCCGCACCUCCGUCAUUGUUGACCCAUCGAAGCUAGCGCGAGAGAAGAGGAGGAAGGGACGCUGUCCUGCGCCGUCGCUGUCGCGCCUGGGUGCUGCUACUGCGAGCUCAUGUUGCCGCGUCGCCGUGCCAUCAUCACACCAUGGAUCUACUCUGUUCUCGAGCUGAGCUAAGGAAGAAGAGACGAACACGACGGGGAGGAAUGAGUGAGCCGCGCUGGUGCUUUUGGGGUCUCACCGCCGCCGUCCCUAUUGUGGCUGGUGUCGUCACCGGAGAACCACCAUCACGGAAGCCACCUGCGUCACCGCUGGAGGAGGGGGAACUCACCAGAUGCUGCCAUAACCACCAUUGCAGAAUGCAUACAGAGGUGAGGAAAGAAGCAUCCUCUGCCACUGCCACGGUUGCUGUUGCUGCUGGUUUACCGUUCAUAAAAGGCAUAAUUGAUGCUGAGGUUGUUGUUGUUCUUGCUCCGAAAGAACUGAUGUCAACGUUGCUGCCGCUAGUUCUAAAUCCUAUUACAUUGAUUCUGGUCUGCCCUUCUCCUUAGUUCUGACCUAUUGGCACGUUCUGUUUUGUCACUUUUAAUUGCCAUGUUCUUGUUUUAAUUCAAUUCUGGUCUUUGAUUUGUUUUGAAUCUUCCAGAGUUAUGUUUGCUUUUGAUUCUUAUCCAAUUUGAAUCCUUGUCUUGCUACAACUAUCGUCACUGCCAUAAGAGAUUGACAAUGCUGCUAUCUCGGUUGAACUUGUUGAGUGGUUAGUAGUGGCCUAGCCAGCUGUCUCGCCGUAAUUUCACCUCCGGUUUCUUUUAGUUGCGACCUCGAGGUCUUUCCUUUUCAGGUUACGGACGACGAAGUUCGAAAGAGCUUAUUUCUUUUCUGUUAGAUGAUAUUUCUGUUUUGUUUUAGUAUUUUUGUUCCCUCGCCUCUAUCUUUAUACAUUCUAUAAGAGGGAUAGGAAUUGUAUUAGCUAAUGCUUGUAAAACUAUUAAUAUGUACACGUAUAUAUAUAUGUAUUUUUUGUGAGUUUUGUAAGUGGUAUUAUAUGUAUGGAUGUAUAUUACUCAUCGAAAAGUAUUGUUGGAGCGGUUAUACGGUUUAAAGUUU